AUCUCCCAACUCAUCCCACCCCACUUCCCCCCACCCUGUGUCCACACUUCCAUUUUCUACGUCUGCAUCUCUAUUCCUGCCCCACAAAUAGGCUCCUCUGUACCCUUUUUCUAGAUUCCACAUAUAUGCCUUAAUAUACGAUAUUUGUUUUUCUCUUUCUGACUUACUUCACUCUGUAUGACAGACUCUGGGUCCAUCCACGUCGCUACAAAAUGACCCAAUCUCGUUCCUUUUUAUGGCUGAGUAAUAUUCCAUUGUAUAUAUGUACCACAUCUUCUUUAUCUAUUUGUCUGUUGAUGG